rnacentral:tRNA from 1 species
ACUCAGUUGCUAGAGUACAAAGCUCUUAACCUUGUGGACGUGGGUUCAAGCCCCAU